rnacentral:rRNA from 1 species
GUCUGUGUGAAGAUGUACACAGUUUGGCCUGCUCACUGAUAAAAAUUAAAGAGCCGCAGUAUUUUGACUGUGCGAAGGUAGCAUAAUAGAUUGUCUCUUAAUUGGAGGCUCGAAUGAACGGUUGGACAAAGUAUCUUCUGUUUCUUAAGUAAAUAUUGAAUUUGACUUUUAAGUGAAAAGGCUUAAAUAAACUAAAAAGACGAUAAGACCCUAUAAAUCUUUACAAAAAGUAUAUUUUAAAUUUUAAAUUAGAUGUUUUUAAAAUAUAAAAUAUACUUUUGUUGUGCUGGGGCGGCAUAGAUAUAUGAAAUAACUGUUUAUAAAUUACAAUCAAUUAAUUGUUGUUUAAAAAAUAAUUGAUCCUUUAAAAGAUUAAAAGAAUAAGAUACUUUAGGGAUAACAGCGUUAUUUUUUCUGAGAGUUCCUAUCGAAGAAAAAGUUUGCGACCUCGAUGUUGAAUUAAAGUUUCUUUGUGGUGUAGCAGUUACAGAAGAGAGUCUGUUCGACUCUUAAUACUUUACAUGAUUUGAGUUCAGACCGGCGUGAG